AGCUUAGUCAUGGAGUUUCUAUGUACAGGGGCAGAGCACAGGAGGGAAAGCUGCAGGACGUUUUAAAACGUGCUAUCAGAAAUAGAGAUCCACCUCCUGGACGUUUAUAGUCAAUGGGCAGACGGGAGGUGGUUAAAAUCCUCUGUUCGGU